rfam:Piloderma croceum F 1598 unplaced genomic scaffold scaffold_00669, whole genome shotgun sequence.
UAUGAUAUUAGAUCAUCAUAAGUCUACUAAUAAGAGCGUAAUUGGUAACAAUCACGUUUUAAGCUAUUAGGACAAUGUAAUAAUAUU